GCCUGGGUGGCUCAGUGGUUGAGCAUCUGCCUUUGGUUCAGAGUGUGAAUCCAGGGCCCUGGGAUCGAGUCCCAAAUCGGGUU
rnacentral:tRNA from 1 species